rnacentral:rRNA from 1 species
UACGGGGGAGCAAGCGUUGUUCGGAUUUACUGGCGUAAAGGGCGCGUAGGCGGCCAGCACAAGUCAGUUGUGAAAUCUCCGAGCUUAACUCGGAAAGGUCAACCUGAUACUGUGCGGCUAGAGUGCAGAAGGGGCAACUGGAAUUCUUGGUGUAGCGGUGAAAGUGCGUAGAUAUCAAGAGGAACACCUGCGGCGAAGGCGGGUUGCUGGGCUGACACUGACGCUGAGGCGCGAAAGCUAGGGGAGCGAACGGG